CUUUAUGUACACCGUCUUUGCUUGAAACAGUUUUUGUUUUUGCUUUGUUCGGAACGUUUUUCAUGGGACUGAGAGUUGGAAAUUUAGCACUGGUCGUUUACAGGGUUGUCCUGCAGUCAAUUCUAAGUUACCUUAGUUUAUGUCCCACACAUUU
rnacentral:snoRNA from 1 species